GAUGAACGCUGGCGGCGUGCCUAACACAUGCAAGUCGAGCGGUAAGGCCCUUCGGGGUACACGAGCGGCGGACGGCUGAGUAACACGUGGGAACGUGCCCCAAAGUGAGGGAUAAGCUCCAGAAAUGGAGUCUAAUACCGCAUAUGGUCUUCGGAUUAAAGUAUUUAUACGCUUUGGGAGCGGCCUGCGUACGAUUAGAUUGUUGGUGAGGUAAAGGCUCACCAAGUCGACGAUCGUUAACUGGUCUGAGAGGAUGAUCAGUCAGACUGGAACUGAGACACGGUCCAGACUCCUACGGGAGGCAGCAGUGAGGAAUCCUCCACAAUGGGGGCAACCCUGAUGGAGCAACGCCGCGUGCAGGAUGAAGGCCUUCGGGUUGUAAACUGCUUUUAUUAGCGAAGAAUAUGACGGUAACUAAUGAAUAAGGGUCGGCUAACUACGUGCCAGCAGCCGCGGUAA
rnacentral:rRNA from 1 species